rnacentral:misc_RNA from 1 species
AAAUUUCAACCUCUUUCUUUUCUUUUGAAAAGUAAAGGCGGCUUGGACUGUUGGAAGUUGCUGGCCUUGCAUAAGUUCAGCUCUUCUCAAACCUAUUAGCACGAUUGCUUCUGGUUAAUCCAUUGGUAUGAUAAUUAUCUAUGCCUUUCGGAAUUUCUGGACAAUGGCGUUGUGCUUCCAAUUGUCUGCAAAGACAGUUUUUGAACAA